CCCAUCAUUUUCAGGUAGAAACUGUUCUUCAACUUGUGGGCUCAGCUGCUAUUAUUCAGCUUCUGAGCAAGAAGCUCCUAUUUUCAGAGGAUCGAAAGCAAACUCUUAAACAAAUUGAUUAAUUCUUAAGCACAAAAGUGGCUCCUAAUGAACUCGUUGACGAUAUAAAGGAAAUCGGGGUGGCCCUUAUA